GGUUGUGUAGUGUAGUGGUUAUCACUUUGGAUUUUGACUGCGUGUCUCCCCCUUCCAAUAACCCCGGUUCGAACCCGGGCACGACCU